UACGUAGGUGACAAGCGUUGUCCGGAUUUACUGGGCGUAAAGAGCGCGCAGGCGGUCGAUCAAGUCGAGUGUGAAAGCCCCCGGCUCAACUGGGGAGGGUCAUUCGAAACUGGUCGACUCGAAGGCAGGAGAGGGUAGUGGAAUUCCCGGUGUAGUGGUGAAAUGCGUAGAGAUGUGGAGGAAUACCGAUGGCGAAGGCAGCCCCCUGGGAUAACACUGACGCUCAGGCACGAAAGCGUGGGGAGCAAACAGG
rnacentral:rRNA from 1 species